rnacentral:lncRNA from 1 species
GCUCCACCAUCAAUAUAUGCCUUUAAUCUUUGCCCAUUCAUUUUAAAUGUGCCUUUUUGCUCAUGAUGAAGCUCCACAGCACCACUGUAAAUGGUCCAAACCAUCUAGACUUGAGCUUUCCAGGAAAUAGCCUUAAGCAUCAGUUGUAAAGCAACACCUUUUAUCCUAGAAUGAAUUCUUGGUGCAAGAUACGUUUGUCAUGCCACUGUUGUAACACCUUGCCCAUUGUUGUACUUAAUUAAUUUAGAAAAUCCUA